rnacentral:tRNA from 1 species
GGGCUGUUAGCUCAGUUGGUAGAGCACUGUGUUCACAUCGCAGGGGUCACUGGUUCGAGUCCAGUACAGCCCACCA